rnacentral:rRNA from 1 species
UGCUCAAUGCUUAGAUGUAAAUGGCCGCGGUAUUCUGACCGUGCUAAGGUAGCAUAAUCAUUUGUCUCUUGAUUAGAGGCUGGUAUGAAUGGCAAGACGAGAAGGUAACUGUCUCUUUUACGACUUUUGAAUUCCACUUCUGGGUGAAAAGGCUCAGAUGAAUUUGGAGGACGAUCAGACCCUAAAGAGCUUGUUAGUUGGGGCGACAAAGAGAAUAAAAUAACACUCUUUUUAUAUACCACUUAUUAGUGAAUAAUUGAUCCCUAACGCGGGAUUAAAAGACUAAGUUACCUUAGGGAUAACAGCGUAAUAUUCUUGGAGAGUUCUUAUCGAUAAGAAAGUUUGCGACCUCGAUGUUGGAUUAAGAAAUUGGUGAGGUGCAGAAGCUUCACAGGAAAGUCUGUUCGACUUUUAAUAUCUUACG